rnacentral:rRNA from 1 species
ACGCAAGUUGCGCCCGAAGCCACUAGGCUAAGGGCACGUCUGCCUGGGUGUCACGC